UGGGGGAGAACCAUACAUGAACACACACAAGUCCAUAGAAGAGAGACACAGAGCAGAGACAAGGAUAGUGACUCCAGAAAGUGGGCCAGCUUUUAUAUCAACUCCUAAAAGGUGGUUCUGGCACAUGAAGGAAAUGGAGAACCUAGAAAAUGGAACUGGUUUAGGAGCCAGGCCCUCACACUUGUGUUUUUUUUUUUUGAACUCCAUUACAAGUUCAAGUUUGAGAGCUCCACUGAAAGUCAUCUUGUGUUGAUGACUGUUAGGUUAGCAUGGAUAAGUGAAAUCCACAAAUGACCCAAAUUUCUGACCCUCAGGGAAAUUUUCUACUAGAAUCUUCCAGAAAGUACACCAAGAAUUCACAAAGUUUUAUUGUCUUUCACUACCUGGAGGACAGUAUAAAAUGCAAGUGUGGAACUGCCCAGAUUUGAAAGGAAGUGAAGAAGGAAAGAAAGGUCCAGAUAAUACAUGUUUGUGACCUUUUGCCUCCUUUCAGAGACCACUGAACCAAGCUCUCCUUUCUGACACCAUGAUAACCUGUCAUCUGCAAGGCAGCUUAAAUCACGGCUCAGUGGGAGAAGAGGAUGGACAGUGGGAGCACCUACUGCCUACCUACUUCUUCAGGACAGCUGGAGGGGCCCAUGGAGCAGGACUGGCAGGGUCCAGGAUUGAGCCCGAGGCAGUACUCAGAGGCUAAACAACUGCAUCCUUGGCACUGUUUCCAAGAUCCAGCUCAAGCAGGAUCAUUCUAUAUUACAUAAGAGGGUGAUAUCCUUCUGAUAGAAGAACAAGAAACAAAGUAUUGUAACUUGUCCAAGUUCUAGAGAUGGGUUGAUAAGAAAUAAAUCUUGGAUCUCUUGACUGCACAUUUCGAUGGUCUUUCUAUUAUCUCUCAGACUCUUAGUUCUCCAAGACCACUGAAAGAAUUCCUCCUUUGAUGCCAUAAAUACUUCAUCUCUAAAGAAGGCCAACUUCAUGUUCAGUGAUCCAGGAAGUUGUUGGUGAAGAAACUGAGAUGAAGAUGCUGAAGAUGGCAUAUUUCCAAAGAACUCAACUCUCCAGUUGUGUAUAAAGCAGGGCUACCUAGAAAUGUCAGUUCUUCUGCUUCUGUUAAUAGAUGGCCCUGGAUAAAGCCAUGGCUCCAUUCUCAAGAUGAAUCCCAAUAAUUGGCCAGAGAAAGGAUAUUUAUUUCUUUUGGCCUGGCUUCCCAGGAAUGAGAAAGAGCACUUGCCAUCCACUAGGAAGCAGAGACAGAUUGAUAGUGACUCCACAUGAAGAGGUCAAGCUAUCCAGCCCCUCUCCACCUUUUCCAGUCAGAAGCAAAUCAACAAAAACCAUCAUUCAGACUAAAUAUUACUGCAGCAAAUCCCCCAGAGAAAAGAACUGAAUACUGGAGAAAAAUAGAAAAAAGGCUCUUCCAAGAGGAACAUAUGCAAGGAAAGAGGAAAAUGGUAGAGGAUGAAGAGAGUGGAGAAUCAAAAACUCCACUUGUAAAUGCAAAAGGGGGAAAUAAUUAAGUUGAGGUUGUGAAAGAAAACCAAAAAAAAAAAAAAAAAGAAGAGCAACGGGAUAGGUAAGGAGGGCACUUGGUGCUUGAACACAAGCCUCCUUCAGUUUGCUCUGUUCUGUUCUCCUGUCCCUGCAAGAUUCAUGGACAAAAAGAUUUAAUGUGUUCCCAGGGGUAGCUGCCUGACCUUGCUCUACGAGCCCUGCUGACAAAAUCCAGACCUGAGUUGUCAUGAGAAAAAGAAAAACUAAGUCAUAAAGAUCUGGUUCUUUCUAAUAAUAGGUCUGGCAAUAAUCUGUCCCAUCAAUACCAUACUGUCCCAUCUGCCAUCUUUAGACUACAGAAGAGGGGGCAACUGGUCACCGCACAAGCUGCCAGAAUGCUUCCUUUGAUGGAGCCGCGUUACUGCUUUUAAUAGAGAUGAUUAUCACAUAAAUGACGAAAAGGGCCACUGAACUC